rnacentral:rRNA from 1 species
CCUACGGGAGGCAGCAGUCGAGAAUCAUUCACAAUGGGGGAAACCCUGAUGGUGCGACGCCGCGUGGGGGAAUGAAGGUCUUCGGAUUGUAAACCCCUGUCAUGUGGGAGCAAAUUAAAAAGAUAGUACCACAAGAGGAAGAGCCGGCUAACUCUGUGCCAGCAGCCGCGGUAAUACAGAGGUCUCAAGCGUUGUUCGGAAUCACUGGGCGUAAGGCGUGCGUAGGCUGUUUCGUAAGUCGUGUGUGAAAGGCGCGGGCUCAACCCGCGGACGGCACAUGAUACUGCGAGACUAGAGUAAUGGAGGGGGAACCGGAAUUCUCGGUGUAGCAGUGAAAUGCGUAGAUAUCGAGAGGAACACUCGUGGCGAAGGCGGGUUCCUGGACAUUAACUGACGCUGAGGCACGAAGGCCAGGGGAGCGAAAGGGAUUAGAUACCCCAGUAGUC